GGAUUUCAACUUUUCGGGGCCAUAGACACUUUUCAGAAAUUGAUAAAACGUUGACACACCUCGUAAAAAAUGAACACAUUAAAAUUAAGCCUGCAGUUUGAUCAAUGGAGAAGCACUGGAGAUUUGUAAGCCACGGAGUCAAAUGGUGGACUGGGAUUUUCAGGAGAUCAUUUAGAUCACACACAGAUCAUAAAAUGCUAAUGACAAAGCUAUCAUGCAAGCAAGAUCUUACCAAAUCCUUUAGUCAUGGUCUAUUUCGUUGCACUCAUAUGAGUGUUACUGCGAAGGUGAAGAACUAAUGACUGCAGCAGGAAAAAGAAUUGGAUGUGUCAUGAAUUAUGGCCCUGCUUAUACUUCUACUUCAACCAUAAUCAUUUGUUUAAACAAAAAGUUCUGCAUUUGAAUUGUCACAAUUGUGUGUGUGUUAUAAACAUCUCAUAUUUCAUCCAGGCUCAGCCAACACUUGCCUUUAUUAACACUCAUAAUCAAAA
rnacentral:lncRNA from 1 species